rnacentral:rRNA from 1 species
AGAGUUUGAUCCUGGCUCAGGACGAACGCUGGCGGCGUGCUUAACACAUGCAAGUCGAACGAUGAUGCCCUGCUUGCAGGGUGGAUUAGUGGCGAACGGGUGAGUAACACGUGGGUGAUCUACCCUGCACUUCGGGAUAAGCCUGGGAAACUGGGUCUAAUACCGGAUAUGACCCUCCUUUAGUGUGGGGGGUGGAAAGCUUUUGCGGUGUGGGAUGAGCCUGCGGCCUAUCAGCUUGUUGGUGGGGUAAUGGCCUACCAAGGCGUCGACGGGUAGCCGGCCUGAGAGGGCGACCGGCCACAUUGGGACUGAGACACGGCCCAAACUCCUACGGGAGGCAGCAGUGGGGAAUAUUGCGCAAUGGAGAAGAACUCUGACGCAGCAAUACCGCGUGAGCGAAGAAGGUCUUCGGAUCGUAAAGCUCUGUUAUCAGGGAAGAAGAAAAUGACGGUACCUGAUGAGCAAGCCCCGGCUAACUACGUGCCAGCAGCCGCGGUAA